CCUACGGGAGGCUGCAGUGGGGAAUAUUGGACAAUGGGCGAAAGCCUGAUCCAGCCAUGCCGCGUGUGUGAAGAAGGCCUUCGGGUUGUAAAGCACUUUCAGUGGGGAAGAAAGCCUUGGGGCUAAUACCCUCGAGGAAGGACAUCACCCACAGAAGAAGCACCGGCUAACUCCGUGCCAGCAGCCGCGGUAAUACGGAGGGUGCGAGCGUUAAUCGGAAUUACUGGGCGUAAAGCGCGCGUAGGCGGUCUGAUAAGCCGGUUGUGAAAGCCCCGGGCUCAACCUGGGAACGGCAUCCGGAACGGUCAGGCUAGAGUGCCGGAGAGGAAGGUAGAAUUCCCGGUGUAGCGGUGAAAUGCGUAGAGAUCGGGAGGAAUACCAGUGGCGAAGGCGGCCUUCUGGACUGACACUGACGCUGAGGUGCGAAAGCGUGGGUAGCAAACAGGAUUAGAUACCCCUGUAGUC
rnacentral:rRNA from 1 species